GAUGAACGCUGGCGACGUGGAUCAGGCAUGCAAGUCGAACGGUCAUAUAUCGCAAGGUAUAUGAUAGUGGCGAACGGGUUAGUAGCGCGUAGAUAUCAACCCCUUACUCAGGCAUAACCUGGAGAAAUCCAGGAUAAUUCCUGAUGGUCCGAGCAAUCGGUAAAGGUUUUCCGGUAAGGGAUGGGUCUGCGUCCUAUCAGCUAGUUGGUAAGGUAAUGACUUACCAAGGCUAUGACGGGUAGGCGGAGUGAGAGCUUGUCCGCCAACAAUGGCACUGAGAUACGGGCCAUACUCCUACGGGAGGCAGCAGUCGAGAAUAUUGCACAAUGGGGGAAACCCUGAUGCAGCGACGUCGCGUGUGGGAUGAAGAUCUUCGGAUUGUAAACCACUUUUCUAUGGGAAGAAUUUUCUGACGGUACCAUAGGAAUAAGGGGUGACUAAACUCGUGCCAGCAGUAGCGGUAAUACGAGUGCCCCAAGCGUUAUCCGGAUUAAUUGGGCGUAAAGGGUCUGUAGGUGGUUUAUUAAGUUCUUCGUUAAAUCUCUAGGGCUUAACCUUAGAGCUGCGGGGAAAACUGGUAAACUAGAGGAUGUUAGGGGCUGAUAGAACACUCGGUGGAGGGGUGAAAUCCGUUGAUAUCGAGUGGAAUACCAAAAGCGAAGGCAAUCAGCUGGGACAGUCCUGACACUGAAAGACGAAAGCGUGGGGAGAGAAAAGGAUUAGAUACCCUUGUAUUCCACGCCCUAAACGUUGAACACUAGCUAUUGUAAGUGUCGACCCUUGCAGUGGCGAAGCUAACGCGUUAAGUGUUCCGCCUGGGAAGUACGGCCGCAAGGCUAAACUCAAAGGAAUAGACGGGACCUACACAAGCGGUGGAUCACGUGGCUUAAUUCGACAGUAAGCGAGGAACCUUACCAGGGCUUGACAGACUAUUGACGACACUUCGAAGA
rnacentral:rRNA from 1 species